CAGUCCCGCGGUAAUACGAAGUGGGCUAGCGUUGCUCGGAAUUACUGGGCGUAAAGGGAGCGUAGGCGGAUCGUUUAGUCAGGGGUGAAAUCCCGGGGCUCAACCUCGGAACUGCCUUUGAUACUGGCGAUCUUGAGUAUGGGAGAGGUGUGUGGAACUCCGAGUGUAGAGGUGAAAUUCGUAGAUAUUCGGAAGAACACCAGUGGCGAAUGCGACACACUGGCCCAUUGCUGACGCUGAGGCUCGAAAGCGUGGGGAGCAAACAGGAUUAGAUACCCCAGUAGUCCCUGUCUCUUAUACA
rnacentral:rRNA from 1 species